UACGUAGGUGACAAGCGUUGUCCGGAUUUACUGGGCGUAAAGAGCGCGCAGGCGGUCGAUCAAGUCGAGUGUGAAAGCCCCCGGCUCAACUGGGGAGGGUCAUUCGAUACUGAUCGACUCGAAGGCAGGAGAGGGUAGUGGAAUUCCCGGUGUAGUGGUGAAAUGCGUAGAUAUCGGGAGGAACACCAGUGGCGAAGGCGGUUCUCUGGGACGGUACUGACGCUGAGACGCGAAAGCGUGGGGAGCGAACAGG
rnacentral:rRNA from 1 species